AAACAACUUAUUUCCUUUUUUUAAACGUGACAGUCGUCCAUAGUCUGUCACAUUCAUUAGAACAAGGGCAAGUGAGAAAUAUAAGAAAACCUCUCUCUCUCUCUCUCGCACACGCACGCACACACACACACACACACACACACACACACACACACACACACACACACACGAAGUGUCUCGCACACACCAGCAACAGUCAAGAAGACAACGGCUAGCAGAUAGAUGGUCGCUAAGCAACAGGCAAAAGACUAAAAAUAUGGUCGCAUUUCUUCAUUCACUUAGAGAGCAGGCACACGCACAAACUCACACACACACGCAAACACUUUCAGUCGUCCUCCAGCAAGGCUUAUCAACCUUUAAAAAGCCUACAUUUCUAAAUCCGUCCCAGUAUUCCUGUGUUCCUGUGGCGUCAGCAGCACUAUUAUCCUGCCCACUCAUUCGGAAACUGGCAACUGUUACUGAAGCUUAAGUCAUUGAGAAAAAAAGAAAGAGUUUGGCCCUAGUAAGAGGCUGGCAGGGGCCAUGGCAAUGUGCAAGUCAUGCCAAACAUUGAAACACUGACCUCGGUCGUGGAGGGUUCAGGCCUAGGUUUCAACAUAUUAUGUGCUGAGACCAAAUAAUUACAGAUCAUUAAAGGGUGUGAAUGUUAAAUGUUAAAAUGAACAGCCUCAGCCGUGAAAUUAGCAAUUUUAGCCUCGUACAAAUAUGACUAAUUCAAGAGAUUUUUAAAGUUGUCGUUUUUUUUUUUACUGGUAAGGCUUAAAGUUAGGGGCGUGGACGCUAUCUCAACCUAUCAGGCAAAUGUCAACGUACAAACACACAUAUCUUAGUUUCACUGUGACUUAUCAUUAUAUAUUAUAUUUAGUGCUGUCAGCGUUAAUCUCGUUAAAAUGACGUUAACACCAUAACCGCAUUAACGCGGCAAAUCUCCGUUAGCGAGUUAGCGCGGAUCGCCCCGUGCGUGGGGCUGGACGGCGCUAACGUGUUAAUGAGCUAACGCAUUAACAAGCUAACGCAUUGUCAAUGUGCAGCCCCAUGCGUGGGGCGAUUCGCGCUAACUCGCUAACUGAGAUUUGCUAAUGCGGUUAUGGCGUUAAUGUCAUUUUAACGAGAUUAACGCUGACAAACUAUCAACAACCCACUGAAUACUUCCAGUUCACAUCUUCCCAAUGUGGCAGUUUGCAAAAUUUGGCUUUCAGACUAUCCCCACCUUUCACAUGGACAGUAGAGUUGCCUUAGGUUGACUUAACAUGACCUCAGCUUCUGAAAGGCUGAAAACGUCUUGACCAACGCCCUUUUCUACAGGUGUUGGGACAGGACAUGUCAUCAUGUUUAACUUCUGUAGAACAAUGUUAAAUCUUUGCAGCUAAAAGGAAUAUGGCAGAUGUCCAAACUCUAUCAUUGAAAGUGGGCUGGGGAAAACAGCUUUCCUUU
ensembl:lncRNA